GAUGAAGAACGCAGCGAAAUGCGAUAAGUAAUGUGAAUUGCAGAAUUCCGUGAACCAUCGAAUCUUUGAACGCACAUUGCGCCCGCUGGAACUCCGGCGGGCACGCCUGUCCGAGCGUCAUUUCAACCCUCAGGCCCCCCUUCGCGGGCGGGCCUGGUGUUGGGGCCCGGCCGCUACCCUGCGGCCGUCCCCUAAAUUCAGUGGCGGCCUCGCCGUGAUCCCUUGCGUAGUAAUGCACCUCGCACCGGAGAGCGCCGUGGCCACGCCGUAAAACCCCCAAUUUUCAAUGGUUGACCUCGGAUCAGGUGGGAAUACCCGCUGAACUUAAGCAUAUCAAUAAGCGGAGGA
rnacentral:misc_RNA from 1 species